rnacentral:rRNA from 1 species
AUGGAUGUAAAGAGUGCCUUUCUCAACGGCAAGAUUGAAGAAGAAGUGUAUGUUGCACAACCACCUUGUUUUGAAGAUCCAAAGCAUCCUGACAUGGUAUACAAGCUCAACAAGGCACUGUAUGGCCUCAAACAAGCUCCUCGUGCUUGGUAUGACACGCCCAAAGACUUCCUGAAGAGCAAAGGCUUCAAACCUGGCUCCCUGUAUCCCACACUCUUCACGAAGACAUAUAAUGGCGAACUGUUUGUAUGCCAAAUCUAUGUGGAUGACAUUAUCUUCGGCUGCACAGACAAGAAAAACAAUGAUGAGUUUGGACACAUGAUGCAAGAGCAAUAUCAGAUGUCCAUGAUAGGUGAGCUGAAAUUCUUCCUCGGUAUUCAAAUCCGUCAGCAGAGCAACGACAUCUUCACAUCACAAGAAAAAUAA